GCCUGGGUGGCUGAGUCGGUUAAGCGUCUGACUUCGACUCAGGUCAUGAUCUCACAGUUCGUGGAUUCGAGCCCCAUGUUGGGCU
rnacentral:tRNA from 1 species